AACGAACGCUGGCGGCGUGCUUAACACAUGCAAGUCAAGGGGAAAGUACCUUCGGGUGCGAGUACACUGGCGCACGGGUGAGUAACGCGUGAGAAAUCUGCCCUUAAGUUUGGGACAACAUCUCGAAAGAGGUGCUAAUACCGGAUAAUGUUUACAUUCGCAUGUUUGUAUAAGAAAGGCGGGGUAACCUGUCGCUUUUGGAUGAUCUCGCGUAUCAUUAGAUAGUUGGUGAGGUAACGGCUCACCAAGUCUACGAUGAUUAGCCGGCCUGAGAGGGUGGCCGGCCACAUAGGCACUGAGACACGGGCCUAACUCCUACGGGAGGCAGCAGUGGGGAAUUUUGCGCAAUGACCGAAAGGUUGACGCAGCGACGCCGCGUGUAUGACGAAGGUUUUCGGAUCGUAAAGUACUUUCAGCAGGGAAGAAUGGCUAGUAGAGUAACUGUUACUAGUGUGACGGUACCUGCAGAAGCAGCCCCGGCUAACUCCGUGCCAGUAGCCGCGGUAAUACGGAGGGGGCAAGCGUUGUUCGGAGUCACUGGGCGUAAAGCGCACGUAGGUGGAUUAUCAAGUCAGGGGUUAAAGGCGACGGCUCAACCGUCGUAAGGCCUUUGAAACUGGUAGUCUAGAGUGCCAGAGAGGAAUGCGGAAUUUCCGGUGUAGCGGUGAAAUGCGUAGAUAUCGGAAGGAACACCAGUAGCGAAGGCGGCAUUCUGGCUGGUAACUGACACUGAGGUGCGAGAGCGUGGGUAGCAAACAGGAUUAGAUACCCUGGUAGUCCACGCUGUAAACGAUGUCAACUAGGUGUUGGGAUGGUUAAUCAUCUCAUUGCCGGAGCUAACGCAUUAAGUUGACCGCCUGGGGAGUACGGUCGCAAGAUUAAAACUCAAAGGAAUUGACGG
rnacentral:rRNA from 1 species